CUUGCCGGGAAGGCGGCGCCGGCGGCGGCUUUCUCGCUGCGCCUGCUCCCGCGCGCUGCCCUCCCGCCGCUGGUGGGCUCCGGAGCCUCGGGCUGCCCGCGGUCCCUGCGCCGCAGUGGCCACAGCCUUCCACUUAUUCUGCGCGGGGGCGCCCGGGCCAGUACAGCCGGUCUCGGGGUGCUCCCUUCUCCCACUCGCAGCUACCCCGUGGAGCUGGCUCGGGCACCCCACUUUGCCCCCUCGUUCGUCUCCUGAGCUGGGCGCGAACUUGCCCAUCCGCAGGUCGACCCUGCCCCCAAGAACUCUGUGCUCCUUGAGGUCGAGCGGGUCACCAGCCUGGAGCACAUCGAUUAGGGGGCGACUUUGGGGAAGUGGCAGAGAGCAGUGGCUGCCUCCACUUCUCUCUCUCGGUGCUGAAGAGGAGCCGCUCCGGGCCCCAGGGCGCUGGAUGACCGGCACGAGGAGCGCGCCCCGCACCUGGUGAGCGAGCUCCCUGCCCGAUUCCCGCUUGGCGGUGGACUGAGCCUGUAGCCGGGACCCAGGGACAGCAGCGUUUGGCUAGUGGGUGGUGUAGAUCUCGGAUAGGGUCGAUCUGCAGGCACCUGGGCGGGGACAGCCUGGUAGCUGCGCGUACUGGAAUAGGACCACCAUCAGUGCGGGGGCGCCCACAGUUGAGCUAGUGCACGGGCUCGAAGUUUGUGUUCUCGCCUUUGCAGAGGUCUGAGAGUGUGGAGGUAAGGAGCGGGAAUAUCGUGGUGGGCUAAUCGGCUGUGGGCGAGACUGGACCGCUGCCUGACAC
rnacentral:lncRNA from 1 species